CAAUACGUCAGCGGCAGACGGGUGAGUAACGCGUGGGAACGUACCUUUUGGUUCGGAACAACACAGGGAAACUUGUGCUAAUACCGGAUAAGCCCUUACGGGGAAAGAUUUAUCGCCGAAAGAUCGGCCCGCGUCUGAUUAGCUAGUUGGUAGGGUAACGGCCUACCAAGGCGACGAUCAGUAGCUGGUCUGAGAGGAUGAUCAGCCACAUUGGGACUGAGACACGGCCCAAACUCCUACGGGAGGCAGCAGUGGGGAAUAUUGGACAAUGGGGGCAACCCUGAUCCAGCCAUGCCGCGUGAGUGAUGAAGGCCCUAGGGUUGUAAAGCUCUUUUGUGCGGGAAGAUAAUGACGGUACCGCAAGAAUAAGCCCCGGCUAACUUCGUGCCAGCAGCCGCGGUAAUACGAAGGGGGCUAGCGUUGCUCGGAAUCACUGGGCGUAAAGGGUGCGUAGGCGGGUCUUUAAGUCAGGGGUGAAAUCCUGGAGCUCAACUCCAGAACUGCCUUUGAUACUGAAGAUCUUGAGUUCGGGAGAGGUGAGUGGAACUGCGAGUGUAGAGGUGAAAUUCGUAGAUAUUCGCAAGAACACCAGUGGCGAAGGCGG
rnacentral:rRNA from 1 species